UAUCCUAGCUACUCCUCCUCAUUCAGGUUCAUUGGCAAAUGAGACUGUGCAGAACAGUGUCUUAGUAAGCAAUCAAUUUGCUGUGUUUGACAUGGGAGUAUAUGGUUAUGUGAUGGGUGAUGAAUCCUCUCAAGGACCCAAGGAGGAAGGACAAUGAUCAAGCCUACUCAAAAAUUUCACUAGCAAUGGAUUAUGGGUGUGGUGUGAAGAUGCAGAUUCUGACAACAACGAGCUGAUGGAUAUCAGGAGCUGUUAGAUAUCAGAAUAACAAGUUGAUGGAUAUCAGGACAACGAGAUGGUGGACAUUAGGAAACUCUUGGAUAUCAGGAAGCUGCAUCAAAUCUACAUCAAACGUCUGAAUUGCUGACAUGGACGCGUAAGCUGACAUGAUGGAGCUGGAGUGGUUGAUGUGACGUGCCAAGACGCUUUGCUGACUUAGCGUGGUGAUCAAAGACGAAAGUCGGUUGAAAAGAUUUGGUGAAUAUUCUUCUCAACAAAUAAGGAAAGAGAUAGACUUAAAUAUCAAGAAGGAUCUCAAACAAGGAAAGUGAUAGGCUUGGAAAUCAAGGAAAAUCCCAACAAGAAAAGAGAUAGGUUUGACGUUCAAGAAAGAUCCCGCUCAUCGAUUCUUGGAGAAUAGUAUAAAUUUUCUAGAAAUAGGCAUUGAGCCGCCGAAACACUCUAGAAUAUUGCCAUACGUGUAUAGCUUUCGAAGCCUAGAAAAAGCUUAAAAAGUGGUGUUUGUAAUUCUCUUUCUCUUCCCAGGUGUGUGAUAAGAAACGGAUGAAAGAAUUAGGCUUUGAUUUGUUUUUAGUAGAGGUUGACUAUUCGGGUAGAAUAUGUCAAGUAAUUGCCGAGCUAAUAGAAUUCUUGUAA
rnacentral:sRNA from 1 species